rnacentral:ncRNA from 1 species
GCAGAGUAGGCUGUAAAGCGAUAGUGAUAAAAGGACGGGAAGUUGCCUUUUGUACGAAUUGGCAUUUUUGUCAGCGAUUUUUCAGCCGCAUUCCGCUGC